UACGGAGGAUGCGAGCGUUAUCCGGAUUUAUUGGGUUUAAAGGGUGCGUAGGCGGGAUGCCAAGUCAGCGGUAAAAAUGCGGUGCUCAACGCCGUCGAGCCGUUGAAACUGGCGUUCUUGAGUGGGCGAGAAGUAUGCGGAAUGCGUGGUGUAGCGGUGAAAUGCAUAGAUAUCACGCAGAACUCCGAUUGCGAAGGCAGCAUACCGGCGCCCUGCUGACGCUGAGGCACGAAAGUGCGGGGAUCGAGCAGG
rnacentral:rRNA from 1 species